UACCGCCCCAACCCUCCGGGGAAAGGGUGAGGCCUCAGGCCAGACAUCAAGCCAGACACAGGGUCAUUUACACACAGCCUGUGUGCCCACUGGCUCAGAGGACAUUCAGGAGAACCUGUGCGCUGAUACCUCGGCAAUGCCAGGCCUGGGCCUCAGGAGUCAAGCACGGCCUGCUCUUCAUUCUCACCCCCUAAGUUACCUGGGUGACCCUGGUAGGGUCGGAGCCACACUGGGGCCACCUUUGGGUGAGAGCGGUGACUACUUUCCUUAAGUGCCUCCUGGGACUUCAGACCCCAGCUUUGCCACUGACAGGCUGUGUCCCCUGGGUGACCUGUUGCUCUCUGAGCCUCGUGGUUUUCGCCUCUGAAACAGGGAAGUGACUGCAGCCGUCGUGGAGAUGAGGGUAGGCGUGAGUUGCAGGCCCUGUGCAUCUCCUGCUGGCUGCCUCCUCACUAACAGGGGUGUCACCCGGCUCGAAACACGCGGUUCUCCUGUCCAUCCUGUGAAGAAGGCCUUCUCGCCCUCACUUUGCAGACCAGACACACGUGUCUCUCAGAGACGUCCAGGGACUCACUCCGGUCUCGCAGAUCAGCAAUAGAGCCAUGAGCAGGAGCUGGUCCGUUCUCGUGCUUUGAGGGGCUCGUUGGCGUAUUCUCGAGGCCUCAGCAGGCAGUCAGGGUGAGGGUUUUCUCUACCCAAAUGUAGGGUUGUGGGAUCCUAGGUGGAGGAGACAGCCAAGGGCAGUGGUUAAGAGUGGGCCCUGGAGUCUGAGCACAUGGGCUUGCUUCCCAGCCCGAGUGCUUCCUUGCUGUGUGAUCUGUAACCUGUCUGCCUCAGUCGCCUUCCCUGCACACUGGAGUACACUGUAGCACCAGCUUUCCUGGAGUCCUGCUGGUUCAAUGAGUUAAUAGGUAUAAAGAGCUUAGAACAGUGCCUGACUGUUAGGAAGCUCUAUAAAAUCUCAGCUAUUUAUUAUCAUUAAUCAUACCAUCAGAAUGGGACGGGGGAGCUGGGCUUUGCCGUCAGCCCUCAGUCUGGCCACCAGGGGGCCCUGCUCAGAACGUCCAUCUGGCCAGCCACUCUCUGGGCAAGGGCUCAGCGCUCCCUGUUGUCAAGCAGACGGAGCUCAGACUCCUUGGCCCCUGUUCAGCGCUCCCAUGACUUAUCCCCCAUCUACCCUUCCAGCACCUCCCUCCAGCUUCACCUUCUUUCCACUCUUCUCUUCUCAGUUAGUUAUUUCAUCCACUAAGUGCUCAAGUCAUUCAGUACAGAUAGGAAUACAGCUCCUGUUCACACCAACCUUUCCCCACCUCUGAGCCUUUGCCCGGACGGUGUCCAUCCCUGAACACCCUUCAGCCGUCCUUCAGGGCCUCCUGAAGUGCAGGAAGGCUCCCUGCCUGUCUGUUUGUUGUACGCUCCUCCUGCAAGCUCCUGGACCUCCGGAGUCAGGCCCCAGCUAACGAGUCUUGUUUGUUUCCGUCUGUGUGUUUGUCUGAGAUUUCGUCAGAACGUUGUUGAAUAAACCCGUGUGGAACAAGUGAAAGGAUGACCUGCCUCACUGGUCCCCCGUAUCCUCUCUUGCUCCCCGCCACCACCCCAAAUCAUCUGUUCUCCGUGAGGGGCCAGAUGGAUCCUUUUAACGAUGCCGACUAGAUUGCGGUGCUCCCCGCUUCAGUCUCGGCAGUCCUCCGCCAUGCUGCACAGGAUGAAACCCAGACUCCUCCCACGGCCUGUGGGCCCUUCAUCACACCCCUCACUUCUCACUCGCCUCCUCUAGCUCACUGGUCGUCUUUCCGGUCCUCAAGCUCAUCAGCCUCUUUCCCGCCUCAGGGCCUUUGCACACGUUGUUUCCCCGAUCUAGACUGCUCAUCCCCCUUCUCUUUCUAUUAUAGGCUCCAUCUCAUAGGCCCCCCCACACUGAGAUCCUCCCUGAUCUAUUAAAGGGAGCUUCCCCGGUCAUGGCCCUUGUCUUUUAAUAGCAUUUGUCACAAAUCAUAGUCUUUUCGGUGCUUAUUCUCUUGUUUGUUGUCUGUCUCCCCCACGGCAGACGGAAGUGUAUCCAUCCCGUCAGUGGGGGAGGGCUCCUGUUUUGAUGGGCCGUUUCAAAGGGGAAAACAGUGUCCUUACUUAGUAUCACUCUUGACCCUCUAUAUACCAGACGGGGAGACGUGAUCGUGGGGGUUGCCUGGGAACCUCAUGCUCACCCUACCUGCCUUCAGUAGAUCGAACAGGGAGGGGCGGAGAGAGAGAGAGUGAGCGAGAGGUGCAGCCCCAAACGAGACAAAUGCAAUGUGUAGCCUCCUUCUGUUCGCGUUCUAGCUGGAGAGCGGGCAGCAAACAGACCACCACGCCAGGUAGCAGUGAUGGUGCUAGGCGGACGUAGCAGAGGAUGGUGCAGGAGGGAGAGCCCCCAGCUGCCCUGUUCUCUGAGAAAUUAGGCUUCGUCGCAUUGUCUGUGGCUCCACUGUGUACGUUCAGACUUGAAGAGCCUUUAAUGAUGGGUUUGGGGGCCAGGCCUUAAUCAAGGGAAAUUGCUGCUGAUUAGACCCGCCUUGGACAAGCUCUAGAAAGUGCGUGCCUGACGCUCACCUUCCUCUUUCCAACCUUCACCCCCCAGCAGGGAACCCAGAGCUGCCAACUAAUGUGUCCCCAACCCAUGAGGUGCCCAGAAAAGAAACCAGGCGGCAACUGCUCAGAAAACCAAUUUCCUUUUUUUACACUGCAGUCAUUUGCAUUACAAAAAUAAUGGUUUGCUUACUGAAACAGACGGAACGAUACAGAAGUGAAGUGAAGUGAAGUGAAGUCGCUCAGUGUCGGACUCUUUGUGACUCCAUGGGCUAUAGCCUUCCAGGCUCCUCUGUCCAUGGGAUUUUCCAGGCAAUAUACUGCAGUGGAUUGCCAUUUCCUUCUCCAGGGGAUCUUCCCAACCCAGGGAUUGAACCCGGGUCUCUCGCAUUAUAGAUGGACACCAUCUGAGCCACCAGGGAAGUUUGCUUACUGAAACACAACGAUACAGAAGGGUCUAUAUCUACACAUCCCACAGUCACCAGAUGUAACCACGGUCUGAACCCUGUUUUGUAGCUUUAGGGUGCCUAGUUUCACGGCCCUGAGAAAGGGAUGCGUGUUGUACAUAUAGAGUUGCUAACACAUUAUAGCUUUGUUGUCGUCUUUCAAAUAUAGUUGAUUCUCCAUAUUGUGCUGGUUUCAGGUAUACCCCUGAACCUGCCAAAAAAACGAAACCUGAAUCAUGACAUAGUUUUAUGCUGGAAGUUCUUUUCCUUUCUUUGUUGCUGUUUAGUCACUAAGUCCCAUCCAGCUCUUUGUGACCCUAUGGACUAUAGCCCGCCAGGCUCUUCUGUCCAUGGGCUUUCCCAGGCAAGAAUGCUGAGUGAGUUGACAUUUCCUUCUCCAGAGGGAUCUUCCCGAUCCAGGUGUUGAACCUGCCUCUCCUGCACUGGCAGGUGGAUUCUUUACUGCUGAGCCACCUGGGAAGCCCUCUUUAGUAGGACAUAAGAUUAUGUGCAGCUUACAACUUGACCUGUGUGUGUGUGUGUGUUCGGUCGUUGAGUCUGUCCAACUCUUUGGGACCCUAUGGACUGUAGCCCUCCAGGCUCCUCUGUCCAUGGGAUUCUCCAGGCAAGGAUAUUGGAGUGGGUUGCCAUGUCCUCCUCCAGGGGAUCUCCCUGCCCCAGGGAUCGAACCUGCAUCCCCUGUACUGGCAGGCGGAUUCUUUAUCGCUUAGCCACCUGGGAAGCCCCAUCCCCUUAGUGGUACAUAAGAUUGGGGUACACCUUACAAUUGAACUUAGGUUUGAGAAAAUCUGGCGAUUCGCUAUUUCCCUCCCUUGCUUACAUAUUCACAUGCCGGUAGAUACAAGUUUGGAGGGAGUUUGCUUCUUUUCUCUGGAAUCGUUUUGUUGUACCAUGGCUUUGCUUUCCCUUAGGGUGCUGUGGUCAUCCUGCUGGCCGGGCAGUCUCUGAGGGGCACAGAGGCUGGUGCAGGUGGCAGGGCCUUGGCAGCUGCUCGCCCUGCCACCCACCUGCUGUGCUGCAGUAUCUCUGUGCCCCCAGCGCCGCACACGCACCGUGCCCAGCACAAGCUGGCGCCAAGCGGGCACCCAGGGAUCAUGCUUCCCCCUCCCCUGCCCCCACGAUGUGGACAGUGUGGACUGGCAUCAUCGCCCCUGCCCCAACAAGAGACAUCGUUGUCCUGAGACCCAGAGGAGGGGCAGGGAGCCUGAGCUCAGAUAAAAAGGUUGGAUGCAAAAGGUCGGCUAAAAAAAGCCACAUGCAAACAAAGGCAGGAGGUGAAAUCAGAAUAACAGGCACAAAGGUCAGAAGGAGAGAAAAAUGAAGGGCAUUGACCACAAACCUGAAAAGACGCUUCUCACCCCAAAGCAAAUAAGACACAUUUUUAAAAAUCAGCUGAAGCAAGUAGAGGCUUCUUAGUAAGAAGGUGAUCGUCUGAGGGCAGGUACAGGUCAAGGUGAUCCUCUGGUCCAGUCCCAGCCUCCACCCACGGCAGCCAGGUGCCAGGGCCCUGGGCUCCUUCCGUCCUCUGGUUCCUCCAUCUGAACGCUGCCGCCUGACUCACAUCUAGCUCUAAGUGCUGUGGGGGUUCGCUGGAUACAGCGUCCUUCUGGCCAUCAUUAUCCCCACUUUACAAAACAGGGAGUGAGGUCCCCAGACAUACAGCGACCUGCCCAAGGGCACCCAGCCAGCAGGCUGGCUCCAGCACGCCGAGCCCAACCGUGAGGCCAGUGGCCUCCAGUCCCCGCGUGCUUGGUCUCACAGGGACACCAGUCAUUGCAGACCAGUCGGUGUGCCCACAGCCCGGCCAGAGGGCAGCCGCAGGGAUGCGGGGCCCAGGGAAGGCAGCCGCUUGCUGUGCUGUCAGGGAACAGCCCCGAGAGGGCCCCAUGCGACCAGCCGCAGCCGAGCGGAAGGGUAAACGAGAGCCAGCCAGCUGGAAGGAAGGUAGGAGGUGGGGAGGGCGCCCCAGGCGAAGGCACAGCCUGAGCCACGGAGACGCCAGCAGCGGCCAGAGCAGAAGGCAGCGGGCGGGAUGGGGAGCGCGAGGGGUGGCAGGGCCAAGCUGAGGGCAGGUGGUAAGCUGGGGAGCGAUGUGGCCAGAUGGGCCCCUUGGGAGAAUCCCGUGGCCCUAGUGAGGAUAAGGAGUUGCAGAGAGGAGGCAGGGUGAGCUGACGAGGCUGGGAGGUCGCACUGGAUCCCUGCUGACAGCGGGGUCACUGGGGCCGAUGGUGAGGGGGCAAGCAGGUCAGGGAGAGCGCGUGGAUCUGUUUAAUGAGAGCUGAGAGGGCUGGUUACGAACAGAGAUAGUCAUCAGAUCAUGAUCACGGAUGAGAAGGAUGCAGGAGUCCUUCAUAAAAUGGAAGUCGCCACCCGUACCUGCAGGUGGGCUUCCCUUCAGUCCACAAACACCGUGCGGGGCGAGCUGUGUGCCGGGCACGGCAGCGGCCACACCGGGAAGAAGCGGACCGUUCACUGCCCCGUGGUGUGUGCUCGAGGGGGCAGAGAUAGGCGGUAAACAGAGAUGUGAGCGGGCGGCGUGUCGGGGAGUGGUCCAUGACGGAGAGAAGGAAGGCAAAGGGAGGAAGAUGAAGGUGGUGGUCUCAGGCCUCCCUGAGAAGGUGGCGUUUGGGCAGAGACCUGAGCGGCUGUCUGGGGAAGGGGGAGUUGCCAGUGCAAAGGCCCUGAGGUGGGCGCAUGCUCAGUGGGUUCAG
ensembl:lncRNA